rnacentral:rRNA from 1 species
GAUGAACGCUAGCGAUAGGCUUAACACAUGCAAGUCGAGGGGCAGCAUGGUCUUAGCUUGCUAAGGCUGAUGGCGACCGGCGCACGGGUGCGUAACGCGUAUGCAACUUGCCUCACAGAGGGGGAUAACCCGUCGAAAGACGGACUAAUACCGCGUACACUCUAUGUUGGGCAUCCAAUGUAGAGGAAAUGAAAUUCGCUGUGAGAUAGGCAUGCGUCCCAUUAGCUAGUUGGUGAGGUAACGGCUCACCAAGGCGACGAUGGGUAGGGGAACUGAGAGGUUGAACCCCCACACUGGUACUGAGACACGGACCAGACUACUACGGGAGGCAGCAGUGAGGAAUAUUGGUCAAUGGGCGAGAGCCUGAACCAGCCAAGUCGCGUGAAGGAUGACUGUCUUAUGGAUUGUAAACUUCUUUUAGACGGGAAUAACAAGAGUCACGUGUGGCUCCCUGCAUGUACCGUAUGAAUAAGCAUCGGCUAACUCCGUG